rnacentral:rRNA from 1 species
AUUAAAUUUAUUAAUAUAAUUUUAUUUAAAUGGAAAUUUUAUAAAAAUAAUUUAAAUUAUAUAUUGUUUUAGUAUUAGGUUAAAAUAAAUUUAAAGUUUUAUAGUUUAAUAGUAUUGUGAAAGAAUUAUUUAAAAUUUUUAAAAGAAUUAUAAUUAAGUACCUUUUGUAUCAGGGUUGAUUAAAAUUUUUAAUUUAAUUUUAAAAUCUCAAAAUGUAUAGAGUUAACUUUAUUAUUAAUUUAUUGUAUUAUAAAUAUUUAAAAAAUAAUUUUGGUUUUAAAAUUUAAUUCGUUAUAUUAUAUUUAGUUAUUUAAGAAUUUAAUUUAAUUUAGAAUUUUAAUAGUUUAAUUUAUAUUUAUUAAUAAGAUUAUUUUAAAUUUUAAAUAUUUUAAGGAUAAGCUUGAAAUUUUUAUAUAAUAGAUUUUAAAUGGAAUAAUAUUUAGGAAUAGAAAUUUUUAUAUUUAAGUUUGUAAAAAUUUAUUAUUUAAUUUUAUUUGAUUUAUUAUAAGUUAUUUAUUUAUAAUAUUAAAUUAUAUAAAUUAAUAAUUUAUUUAUAGAAAUAAUGAUUAAAUUAGUAUAAUAUAAUUUAUUUAUAAAUUAUGAAUUCGGCAAUUAGUAUUUUCAUCUGUUUAUCAAAAACAUAGUAUUAAGAUUUAUUUAAUAUAAAAUCUGCUCAAUGAUUUAUUUAGAUAGCUGCAGUAUAUUGACUGUGCAAAGGUAGCAUAAUAAUUAGUCUUUUAAUUGAAGACUUGAAUGAAAGAUUUGAUGAAAAAUAGACUUUAUUAUUUAUAAAAUUAAAAUUUUAUUUUUAAGUAAAAAAGCUUAAAUAUUUUAAAGGGACGAUAAGACCCUAUAAAACUUUAUAAUUAUAAUUAUUAAAAUUUUUGGUUUAUUAAAAUUUUAAUAUUUUUAAUUAUUUUAUUGGGGUGAUAAAAAAAAUUAAUUAACUUUUUUUAAAAAUUUACAUUAAUUAAUGAUAAUUUUGAAUUAAAAUUUUUAAUUAUAGGAAAAAGUUACUUUAGGGAUAACAGCGUAAUUAAUUUUUUAAGCUCAAAUUUAAAAAUUAGGUUACGACCUCGAUGUUGAAUUAAGAUUAAUCUUAGGUGCAAAAUUUUGAGAUAUUAGGUCUGUUCGACCUUUAAAUUCUUACAUGAUUUGAGUUCAAACCGGUGUAAGCCAGGUUGGUUUCUAUCUUUUAAAAAUUAUAUUAUUUUAGUACGAAAGGAUUAAGUAAUUAGAUUAUAUUUUUGUUUAUGAAUUAAAUUAAUUUA